GCUGUAGGUGCAGUGUUCUGAGUGGUUAAUGUUGGGGUUAAGGCUUGCUACAGCAUUGCUGUAGGUGCAGUGUUCUGAGUGGUUAAGGUUGGGGUUAUGGCUUGCUACAGCAUUGCUGUAGGUGCAGUGUUCUGAGUGGUUAAGGUUGGGGUUAAGGCUUGCUAGAGCAUUGCUGUAGGUGCAGUGUUCUGAGUGGUUAAGGUUGGGGUUAUGGCUUGCUAGAGCAUUGCUGUAGGUGCAGUGUUCUGAGUGGUUAAGGUUGGGGUUAAGGCUUGCUACAGCAUUGCUGUAGGUGCAGUGUUCUGAGUGGUUAAGGUUGGGGUUAUGGCUUGCUAGAGCAUUGCUGUAGGUGCAGUGUUCUGAGUGGUUAAGGUUGGGGUUAUGGCUUGCUACAGCAUUGCUGUAGGUGCAGUGUUCUGAGUGGUUAAGGUUGGGGUUAUGGCUUGCUACAGCAUUGCUGUAGGUGCAGUGUUCUGAGUGGUUAAGGUUGGGGUUAUGGCUUGCUAGAGCAUUGCUGUAGGUGCAGUGUUCUGAGUGGUUAAGGUUGGGGUUAAGGCUUGCUAGAGCAUUGCUGUAGGUGCAGUGUUCUGAGUGGUUAAGGUUGGGGUUAAGGCUUGCUA